UGGUUUUAGAGGACAAGGGUCAAUCUGAGUUCUGGGUUUGCUUUGAUCCAUCUUUCUGUACGGACUUAAUGCACCGUAUUGUGGAUGAGACGCUUACAAUCAAUUACUUGGACCUCCCACAACAAGAAUGUGUGAAAUUGUAUGCUGAGGUCCACUUUCCGAACGUUCAGUUUUCUUCAACAAUUGUGGACUUUGGUUGCUUGCAAAACUGCUCAGAGAUAAAGAGAAGGAUAACAAUGACCAACUGCUUUCAGCUGCCGGUGUGCUACAACGGGGCUUUUAUGGAGUACCAAAAACGCCCUCAUAGGAG